UCACUCUUGUAUGUGAUGGAGCCUUGCUCUCCUGGGAAUGGCUGAACACCGGCCUGCCCAUGGGAACUGGUGAACUAAUUCUCUGUUUUGCUUUGCUUGUUGCUUUUGCUUUUCCUAUCAAACUGUCUUUAUCUCAGGCCACAAAUUUGGUUGCAUUUUCUUCUCAGUAGAGGUUCACAUUCUCAGAGCCAAAUUGAUUAUUAGACUUCUUUUAAGCAUUUUAGAUAAUAAUUUUAUGAGAAUUUUAUGAGAAUUUCAAAGACUGAAAACAAUAAUUUCAAGAUUUUUUUUUUGCCUUCUUCUCUAAUGAUUCGUGCCAUACUUCAAAGUUUCUGAAAACACUUCAUCUUGAGGACUUGGACACUGACCUCGUCUCUCCUGUUUCCUGCCUGCAGGUCUUACUGUAUAGAUAAGAAGAACAUAUACUUUUAUGGACAACAAGGAUACAAUCUGACUGCUCCGUCUGAACAGGAUAAAAGAAUUUCACAUAAUAGGAUUAUCUCCAUCUCACUUAACUUCAUCCAUCCAGAAAUUAGAUGUCUAUCGGUAAAUACAAUUUUUUGAGCUUAUACUUCUGAAGGUUGCAUUCAUGAUCUAUUAGACUGGAUGCCUGUCUUACUUUCUCUAUCGGCAGAACCCUGGGUUUCUGGGCUUUUGGAGAAGAGAUGAGGCCAACUGUGUCACUGCAAUUUUGUUGGAACAUGCAACUGUCAUGUAAUGCAGCAAACAAAUUAUGAAGCAUAUUACAG